AGCCGCGGGGUCGACAUUGUUCCUAUUGGCAGUACACCUGCACGCUCCGUCGUCAGUCACGAGAAGAGCUGCGUGCAGGGCACCCUCGAUCCGUUCAACGAUCUGGUAGCUGGCGUCCUGGUUCCUUCCCGGCAUCCGUCGUACUGGUUCACGCACCAUCGCCGUUGGUCUUUUUCCGGUUUGAGAUAGUGAGCGCCACCUGGGAGGACUCUCUGUGAACAAGGCUGCACCAUCGACGGCCUCCUCCACCAGAUGCAGCAAAAAGCAAGAUUCACAAGUUCAUCUUAUGGAUGCUUUUCAGUACAUCUACUUCCCGUUGUGCAAAUGUGGAGGGCCGGUAAGUUCUACUACCAGUCUACGCCAAGUUCAGGGGCAUUGCCACUAAUGGAAAGGACAAUGAAUAAACGAUGUUGGAUCAUAGGUCGAAGGAGGCCGGGUCAAGGCACCAUGACUGGUUGUUGUUGUAUCUUAGUGUCGUGCUUGUUGAUGUGUUGACUAGCAGAUCAAUAUAUAUGCAUGUUGUUUGCUUUUGACAUGGUAAAAAUAAACUAUUGGUACAAAUUCUAGUUUCUAUAUGACAAAAGUUCAUUAAGAAAAAAAUCAGUUCAAUGGAUACGUUGUAUCUGUUUAUCACAUAUACUUGCGAAAGAGUUCAAAAUGUUCUUCCCUUUCUGGAAAUUACAUGUGAUUAUUCAUUUAUUUUUAGGCCAUACAAACAACAAUAACUCAUUAGUCUUGUAUGGCUGAAUUUCUUUUCAUUUGCUCGUAUAACUGGAAUGCAUCUUUGCUUGUAUUAUCUCUUGUAACACUAAGAUAUAUUUUUCAUGUUGGCAUGUCUUUAGGAGUGCCCUGGCCGAUCACAGCCACCACCGCAGGCCGUUCAACGCCACCUCCGCAGGCGGUUCA